rnacentral:rRNA from 1 species
AGUGAACGCUGGCGGUAUGCCUAACACAUGCAAGUCGAACGGCAGCACAGUAAGAGCUUGCUCUUACGGGUGGCGAGUGGCGGACGGGUGAGGAAUACAUCGGAAUCUACUUUUUCGUGUGGGAUAACGUAGGGAAACUUACGCUAAUACCGCAUACGACCUACGGGGGAAAGCAGGGGAUCUUCGGACCUUGCGCGAUUGAAUGAGCCGAUGUCGGACUAGCUAGUUGGCGGGGUAAAGGCCCACCAAGGCGACGAUCCGUAGCUCGUCUGAGAGGAUGAUCGGCCACACUGGAACCGAACCACCGUCCAUACUCCUACGGGAGGCAGCAGUCGGGAAUAUUGGACAAUAGGCGGAAACCUUGUCCAACCAUACCGCGUGGGUUGAGGCGACGUUGGGGUUGUGAAGACGUUUUGUUGGGAAAAAAAAGCAUCAGGUUGUUACGCCGCUGUUCUGACGGUAACCAAAAAAGAAGCACCGGCUAACUUCGUG